GAUGAACGCUGGCGGCGUGCCUAAUACAUGCAAGUCGAGCGAACAGAUAAGGAGCUUGCUCCUUUGACGUUAGCGGCGGACGGGUGAGUAACACGUGGGUAACCUACCUAUAAGACUGGAAUAACUCCGGGAAACCGGGGCUAAUGCCGGAUAACAUUUAGAACCGCAUGGUUCUAAAGUGAAAGAUGGUUUUGCUAUCACUUAUCGAUGGACCCGCGCCGUAUUAGCUAGUUGGUAAGGUAACGGCUUACCAAGGCAACGAUACGUAGCCGACCUGAGAGGGUGAUCGGCCACACUGGAACUGAGACACGGUCCAGACUCCUACGGGAGGCAGCAGUAGGGAAUCUUCCGCAAUGGGCGAAAGCCUGACGGAGCAACGCCGCGUGAGUGAUGAAGGUCUUCGGAUCGUAAAACUCUGUUAUUAGGGAAGAACAAAUGUGUAAGUAACUGUGCACGUCUUGACGGUACCUAAUCAGAAAGCCACGGCUAACUACGUG
rnacentral:rRNA from 1 species